AAGUCGAACGGUAACAGGAAGAAGCUUGCUGUUUCGCUGACGAGUGGCGGACGGGUGAGUAAUGUCUGGGAAACUGCCUGAUGGAGGGGGAUAACUACUGGAAACGGUAGCUAAUACCGCAUAACGUCGCAAGACCAAAGAGGGGGACCUUCGGGCCUCUUGCCAUCGGAUGUGCCCAGAUGGGAUUAGCUUGUUGGUGGGGUAACGGCUCACCAAGGCGACGAUCCCUAGCUGGUCUGAGAGGAUGACCAGCCACACUGGAACUGAGACACGGUCCAGACUCCUACGGGAGGCAGCAGUGGGGAAUAUUGCACAAUGGGCGCAAGCCUGAUGCAGCCAUGCCGCGUGUAUGAAGAAGGCCUUCGGGUUGUAAAGUACUUUCAGCGGGGAGGAAGGGAGUAAAGUUAAUACCU
rnacentral:rRNA from 1 species